rnacentral:rRNA from 1 species
UCUAAGAUGGGGACAACAGCCCGAAAGGGCUGCUAAUACCGAAUGUUGUAUCUUUUGGCGCAUGGUGGAGAUAUUAAAGAUGGCCUCUACUUGUAAGCUAUCACUUAGAGAUGGGCCUGCGUCUGAUUAGCUGGUUGUGGGGUAACGGCUCACCAAGGCGACGAUCAGUAGCCGGUCUGAGAGGAUGAACGGCCACAUUGGGACUGAGACACGGCCCAGACUCCUACGGGAGGCAGCAGUGGGGAAUCUUCCGCAAUGGGCGAAAGCCUGACGGAGCAACGCCGCGUGAGUGAAGAAGGUCUUCGGAUCGUAAAGCUCUGUCGAAGGGGACGAAUGUAGCGCCUAUCAACAACGGGCGCUAAUGACGGUACCUUUCAAGAAAGCCACGGCUAACUACGUGCC